GGGGAUGACAGGCAUCGAUGAAAGUUUAUUUCUUUAAUAAGCAAGUCGAGUUCAAAAUCUCGUUAAACUUUUGAAAAAAUAUAAGUGCAAACUUAUUUUCCAAAGCUAAGGAUACAUUAGCUUCGCUAAUAACUCCAAAUUUAGCUUUUGCAACUGCUUAAGUUCAGUUGCCAUCCGAGCUUUUGACUCCUAAUAGAAAGUGUUGGGUGUUAAUUUAUUAGGAUAGAUGAUUAAAACUGUUUCAAUUUAAUCAUUAAAAUCUUUGAAACAAGGAUUAAAAAUAUUUUGCUCAAUUUUCAAUUCUUAAUCCUUAACAUUAAAUUGAGCUAAGCUUGUAGAAUUAUUAAAAAAAUAUCUUUUAGACGGGAGUUCGACUCUCCCCAUCUCCACCC
rnacentral:tmRNA from 1 species